rnacentral:rRNA from 1 species
UACGAAGGGGGCUAGCGUUGCUCGGAAUGACUGGGCGUAAAGGGCGCGUAGGCGGCGUGACAAGUCACUUGUGAAAUCUCCGGGCUUAACCCGGAGCGGCCAAGUGAUACUGUCGUGCUAGAGUGCGGAAGGGGCUACUGGAAUUCUCGGUGUAGCGGUGAAAUGCGUAGAUAUCGAGGGGAACACCUGCGGCGAAGGCGGGUAGCUGGGCCGACACUGACGCUGAGGCGCGAAAGCCAGGGGAGCGAACGGG